GAUGAACGCUGGCGGCGUGCCUAAUACAUGCAAGUCGAGCGAACAGACGAGGAGCUUGCUCCUCUGACGUUAGCGGCGGACGGGUGAGUAACACGUGGAUAACCUACCUAUAAGACUGGGAUAACUUCGGGAAACCGGAGCUAAUACCGGAUAAUAUAUUCAACCGCAUUGUUCAAUAGUGAAAUACGGUUUUGCUGUCACUUAUAGAUGGAUCCGCGCCGCAUUAGCUAGUUGGUAAGGUAACGGCUUACCAAGGCAACGAUGCGUAGCCGACCUGAGAGGUUGAACGGCCACACUGGAACUCGGACACGGUCCAGACUCCUACGGGAGGCACCAGUAGGGAAUCUUCCGCAGUGGGCGAAAGCCUGACGGAGCAACGCAACGUGAGUGAUGCAGGUCUUCGGAUCGUAAAACUCUGUGAUUAGGGAGGAACGAAUGUGUAAGUAACUAUACACGUCUUGACGGUACCUAAUCAGAAAGCCACGGCUAACUACGUG
rnacentral:rRNA from 1 species